rnacentral:rRNA from 1 species
ACGCGAAGAACCUUACCCAGGCUUGAACAGCGAGUGACCAUCGACGAAAGUUGACUUCCGCAAGGACAAUCGUAGAGGUGCUGCAUGGCUGUCGUCAGCUCGUGUCGUGAGAUGUUGGGUUAAGUCCCGCAACGAGCGCAACCCUUGUCUGCUGUUGCCAUCAGGUUAUGCUGGGCACUCUGCAGAGACUGCCGGUGAUAAACCGGAGGAAGGUGGGGAUGACGUCAAGUCAGCAUGGCCUUUAUGUCUGGGGCUACACACGUGCUACAAUGGCAGAUACAAACCGUCGCGAGACCGCAAGGUGGAGCUAAUCGGAGAAAGUCUGUCUCAGUUCGGAUAGCAGGCUGCAACUCGCCUGCUUGAAGUUGGAAUCGCUAGUAAUCGCGGAUCAGCACGCCGCGGUGAAUACGUUCCCGGGCCUUGUA